GACGAACGCUGGCGGCGUGCUUAACACAUGCAAGUCGAACGGAAAGGCCCUGCUUUUGUGGGGUGCUCGAGUGGCGAACGGGUGAGUAACACGUGAGUAACCUGCCCUGUACUUUGGGAUAACUUCAGGAAACUGGGGCUAAUACCGGAUAGGAGCUCCUGCUGCAUGGUGGGGGUUGGAAAGUUUCGGCGGUUGGGGAGGGACUCGCGGCUUAUCAGCUUGUUGGUGGGGUAGUGGCUUACCAAGGCUUUGACGGGUAGCCGGCCUGAGAGGGUGACCGGGCACAUUGGGACUGAGAUACGGCCCAGACUCCUACGGGAGGCAGCAGUGGGGAAUAUUGCACAAUGGGCGGAAGCCUGAUGCAGCAACGCCGCGUGCGGGAUGACGGCCUUCGGGUUGUAAACCGCUUUCGCCUGUGACGAAGCGUGAGUGACGGUAAUGGGUAAAGAAGCACCGGCUAACUACGUG
rnacentral:rRNA from 1 species